rnacentral:rRNA from 1 species
GAUGAACGCUAGCGGGAGGCCUAAUACAUGCAAGUCGAACGGUAAGGUCCCUUCGGGGAUACACGAGUGGCGGACGGGUGCGUAACGCGUACGAAACAUACCUUCAACAGGGAGAUACCUCCGGGAAACUGGAAAUAAUACCCCAUAGUAUUGUGACAUCGCAUGAUGUUACAAUUAAAGCUUUGGCGGUUGAAGAUUGUCGUGCGUCUGAUUAGCUAGUUGGUGAGGUAACGGCUCACCAAGGCGACGAUCAGUAGCUGGUCUGAGAGGAUGAUCAGCCACACUGGAACUGAGACACGGUCCAGACUCCUACGGGAGGCAGCAGUAGGGAAUAUUGGACAAUGGGCGGAAGCCGUGAUCCAGCCAU